CCGACCUUAGCUCAGUUGGAAGAGCGCGAGACUGUAAUUGGUUAAUGUGGAGAUCAUCUUGAGGUCGCCUGUUCGAGCCAGGCAGGUCGGA